rnacentral:tRNA from 1 species
GUCUGGGUAGCUCAGUCGUUUGAGCGUCUGACUCUUGAUUUCAGCUCAGGUCAUGAUUCCAGAGUUGUGGGAUCGAGCCCCACCUUGGGCU